rnacentral:lncRNA from 1 species
UUCGGAUAAAGUCCUCCUAAUAGUGAUGACUACAGUAUUCAAACUCAAUCCAAAUAUUUGAAAAGAAGUUCACUCCACUUUUUUCAACCACUUAUUAGUAAAUAUAAAAUAAUUUGAAUAGUUUAUUAAAUUGAUACAAGAUGAGUUAUAAUAACCCAAAAAGUAAAAUAAUAAUUUUAAAAAAUAAUUAGAAACAUUUACAACAAACUAAGAAGCUCUUAAAAAUUGAGUAAAAUCCAAUAGAUUAGUAAGAGAAAAUUUAAAAUAAAAAAGUACUUAAAAUAAACAAAAUAAUGGCAAUAACGUUCAAAAUAUAAUAUAUUAUUCUGUCAAAAGUUAGAAUAUUAUUAUUUAUUUUCUCCUCACUUUCUGGAAAUUAAGUAUUAAAAAUAAUAAAAAGUACAGUGUGUAAUACCCUAAUUCUGCCCGGCACAAAUCAAAUAAAUAAACAAAAUAAAAAAUAUAAUAAUAUAAAUAAUGAAAACCAAAAAAAUUAAAUGUCCAAAAAUGUCUAGUUACAAACCAAAAAUUAAAGGCCCAAAAUUAUACCAAACCCAAUUAAAACCCAAACUCACUAAAAUUAAACCAAAUUACACCAGGCC